CGGUAGUUGCCGUAGUGACAUAUAAAUGCGUUUUCAACCGGAAGUCCCGCCCCUUUUUCAUCCCCUCUCUGGCCGACUGACCUCCAGUCCGCUGACACGGCAGCAUGCCUCGCAAGAUAGAAGAAAUCAAAGAUUUCCUGCUGACAGCCAGGAGGAAGGAUGCUAAGUCCGUAAAGAUCAAGAAGAACAAGGACAAUGUUAAGUUCAAGGUGCGCUGCAGCAGGUACCUGUACACCCUGGUCAUCACAGACAAGGAGAAGGCUGAGAAGCUCAAACAGUCCCUGCCCCCAGGUCUGGCUGUGAAGGAGCUGAAGUAAAUCCGUGAUGUACAGAUAAUUGUAAUAAAAAACUGGGGG